CCGUGCAGCCGGGGAGAUAGCGGUGCCCUGUACCUGCAAUCCGCUACAGCAGGGGUGUUGUCCCACCGAGGGCCUGAAGAUGAAGAGCUGCCCAGAGCAAGUGGCGCUGACGUCCGGGUCUUGUGCAACAAGAACUUGUGAACCGUGUCAGGUCAGGAAUGAAGCAGCACUAAGCAAUGCUUUUUGUGUGACGCGAGGGUGCCUGGACCGAGUCAACUGUUCUGGUAACGUCUUCUGAUCCAGGUUCGACGUGGGAUGCACGG
rnacentral:SRP_RNA from 1 species